AGGUACCCAGGAGUAAGGACCUGUAAUAAUGUGAAGAAUGAGAACAGCAUAUGAGCAGCAGACAGCAUUCCCCUCUACAACCCGGCUAAGAAUCCUUCCGCUAGCAAUCAUCGCAGAGAAAUAUUCAUGCUCUAAAGAAACACAAGUGGCAAUAGAUUAACAUUGCUGGUGGAACAGCAAAACAAGCACAGAAGCACACCGUCUCCUUUUUGGACACCAUCCCCCAAAUGCUGCCUGGAGAGCUGACGAGCAGUGCACCUGAGGCCAGCAUGACCCCUCUGGUGAGGGGAGGAGGGGCAAAUGGUGGAAACUAAUGACCGAAGAGGCAGAAGUGUUUGGAUGCCAUUCGUGGGUUUACAUCAGAAGUGCUGACCAGCAGUGGCAUGGGCAAUCCUGGAAUCUCCAAUUACCAACGGCAGCAGACUGAGAUGUCACUUUCCAGGGCAACAUUUUGUUGCACAGACAUGUAAGUCAGAUCAAGUCCUGAGCAACCUCAAAGCCACUGAGGAAUGAAUGAAUAAAUAAAUAAAGAAGCAUCUAAUGAAAGCAAGCAUUGAGAGUGGCAACUCCUACCUGUUCUGCUACAAAAAAAAAAUCCUUUUGUUAACAUUAAUAUUUGGCAGCUGGUGUAGAACACACAAGGGCAUUUUAGUUGGGUUUUAAAGAAAGAAAUUGACACAGAAAGAAGGCAAUGAUUUUUUUAAUAGAGGAUCUCUCUGGGGGGUUUGUGUUCAUAUCACCAAUAUUCACUUUAUUACAUUUUAUGGAAUGGAGUUUAAAUGCCAGUAUAUACAAGCCAACAUUUCAUU